CUCUCACAUCUCUCUUCCUCUCUCAUAUCUUUCUCUCCAAAACAGAUCAGGCCUCACCCCCGUAGUUCUCCUUCCGUUCUUUCGUUCGUCGCCCUUCCCAACUGCAGCGUCAUCCAGCUUCCCCGACCGCCGCUCUUCCUUGCCGCGUCUUAUCCACGUUGGAAUCGAUCUGAAAAACAAGGACCGCAGAUGAAUCGCAGAUGAAUCUGUCCACUGUGGUUGAUGUAGCCGAGGAGGUGUACCGUACCCUGACUGUUUGAAGGAGAUUGGAUGGCCGUCUCUAGGAACCAACGAUGGAGGUUUGGUAGCAAAGUUGUUUACCUGCUCGACAACAUUCAAUUUGUUUCACUGCUCACCUCUGUAUCUUGAAGAAUUUCCUGAUUUUGAUAAGUUCUACUCAUAUAAUUUAUCUCUAAUACACUGUCCAGAUGGUUGAUGCAAGCUCUGCAAUUUUGUAAGGAAGAUUUGUGGUAUGUGCAUAUCUAAAUAAACUGGGAUGGACUAAUCUCUGUUUAUAAUUUUUAUCACUUUAUUAGACAAAAGGCCCUCAAGCACAUAGUGGGCAGUCAUGUACAGCUGAUAUAGUUGAUGUUUGAUAACAGUUGGUUCAAGGUGUGUGGCCUUUUGCAUUUUUUUCUAACCUGUCUAUUUUCUGAAUUCUGCUGAGCCGGUAAAGACAGUAGAUCGAGAUAUUUCAGUCCCUACAGAUGCUUUGUUAUUUGAGGACUAAGCAUUAAACAUGUUCCAGUUUCUAGUCCAUUACAUGUAGAUUACUUAUUUAUCGAGUUACUGGAAACUGUUUAGGCUUCCAAUUUAUUCUUAGUUAUGUUGUGAUGGGCUGCGCAUGUGAGUUGACAUAGCAAACAACUUAUUUUGAUAAGCCUAAAGCAUGUACAUUUACUUUCUUAAAGCACGUGAAUUGAAACUGUUAAGGCAGACUAUACAAAGUGUUGCCAGCUUAUUAUAAUUUGGUAUACUGUAGAUAUGGCGUGUGUAGUUUUUUUGGUAAAUCUUCCACCAGAAAUGUUAUUUCAGAAGGUUGGUGCUGAGUGCUGACACCCAGUAAGAUCCUGCUAGAUCGGCCCUCUGUCUAGCACAUUACUCGGUGGAUAUGACAGGCAACCUUCAGUUUCAGGGAGAGUACAUUUUUGGCAUGUUGCUAUUCUUAUGAAGAGUAAUCUCCCCUUGCACAUAACUUACAUAGGAUUGUUGGAUCAUCACAAGAUUUCCUUUAUGAGUAGGGACGUAACUUUUAUUACUGUAAUUCAUCUACAGUCAUGCACCGAUCCAUUGGUACACAUAUUAGAUGAAAAAACUGUUAUAGGCUCACUAUAUAUGUGAACAAAUCUGGAGCCUAUGGAAUAUUGAAUGGUAGGGAUUUAUCGUUUCACUUUACAUGACAUAUUGAUCCUUUGUCCCUGCCUUCUAAUUAUUGCGAAAGAAGGCUUCUUUAGCUUUUAGUCAGUGUCUAAUUAAACUAUGAAAAUGUUAAUUCAUUCAAUAUUUUAGACUACUUUUGUGCGUGCUUCAUGUAGGUAUUUGUACCCAGCAAACAACCUAUGACCAAACAAUAUAUAUUUUAUGCUUUAUCUCGAUGGUACUCAGUGAUACAAAUAUGGAAUUGAUGGAUAAGUAUAAUUAAUGGAUGCAUAUUUAUGUACUUUAUGAUGAAUAGAUUGAAUAAAUAGAUGCAUACAUGGACAAUUGGAUUCUCGCUGAAGAAGCCACAUAUGCCUCCCUGUGUCAUCUAGAUCAUCCCUGAAUCAGAGAUCGCACAAACUAUUGAUUUAUCAGCCGAGCUCCCUGAUAAGUAAUGCAGUUUGUUUAGAUUUAAUAUUACAUGCUACCACAGGUUGUUUCCAGCAAGCUGAUUUGCUUUGCUAAUAGUGAAUUAGGCAUCUGCUCAAGUCUUGAAGAUGACUCUGGCACUAAAGUACCUAAUGCAAAGUAUUAGGACAUACAGUAGCUUUUAAGAUAUUCACCAUGAUGCAAAUUUUGUUCUUCGAUCUUCCCUGUCAGUGAACUAAUCGCUACUUGCAGGAAAAGGUGUCGGCCGACAGGGGUAAUAGUGCAUCAAUGAAGGUCAGAACAGGUCUGGGACAUGAUUAGCGGAGUUACAGGUUCGUUCAGGGGCAGACUACGAGAGCUUUGUUAACAUUAAUUGGAUGUUUUCUUGGAAAAAAACUGUGAGGGGUUGCCAUCUGCCAAUGUCACCAAAAGUGCGAGUUCAGGGAGAAUAUUUCUUCUUUCUACUUGAUCAGUAUACCUGCAUGUUGAUAAACCACUCAAUAUUUUUUUGUGUCUCCAGAUUAUAAUAUGGUUGUGUGUGACCAAAGAACUACUGCAAAGCAUACAGGUAUUGUAGCUGAGAGUAAAGAAAAUUGGAAAUACAAUUUCGAGAGGAAAAAGUUGAUAGCUUAGAUGAUACUAAUUCCGCCUUCAGUAUGAUCAUAUUUUUCUAUAAGAUAUGGCCAUACGAUACCAAAUAGCACUCAAUUUUCCCAUGUAUGUUAGAUGAAACACACAAGGAAAAAAAGUUAUGGACUCCCUUGGAGGUGCCUAA